GAUGAACGCUGGCGGCGUGCCUAAUACAUGCAAGUCGAGCGAACAGAUGAGGAGCUUGCUCCUCUGACGUUAGCGGCGGACGGGUGAGUAACACGUGGAUAACCUACCUAUAAGACUGGGAUAACUUCGGGAAACCGGAGCUAAUACCGGAUAAUAUAAUGAACCGCAUGGUUCAAUAGUGAAAGACGGUUUUGCUGUCACUUAUAGAUGGAUCCGCGCCGCAUUAGCUAGUUGGUAAGGUAACGGCUUACCAAGGCAACGAUGCGUAGCCGACCUGAGAGGGUGAUCGGCCACACUGGAACUGAGACACGGUCCAGACUCCUACGGGAGGCAGCAGUAGGGAAUCUUCCGCAAUGGGCGAAAGCCUGACGGAGCAACGCCGCGUGAGUGAUGAAGGUCUUCGGAUCGUAAAACUCUGUUAUUAGGGAAGAACAAAUGUGUAAGUAACUAUGCACGUCUUGACGGUACCUAAUCAGAAAGCCACGGCUAACUACGUG
rnacentral:rRNA from 1 species